AUUGAACGCUGGCGGCAUGCUUUACACAUGCAAGUCGAACGGCAGCGCGGGCUUCGGCCUGGCGGCGAGUGGCGAACGGGUGAGUAAUGCAUCGGAACGUGCCCAGUAGUGGGGGAUAGCCCGGCGAAAGCCGGAUUAAUACCGCAUACGACCUGAGGGUGAAAGCGGGGGACCGAAAGGCCUCGCGCUAUUGGAGCGGCCGAUGUCGGAUUAGCUAGUUGGUGGGGUAAAGGCUUACCAAGGCGACGAUCCGUAGCUGGUCUGAGAGGACGACCAGCCACACUGGGACUGAGACACGGCCCAGACUCCUACGGGAGGCAGCAGUGGGGAAUUUUGGACAAUGGGGGCAACCCUGAUCCAGCCAUGCCGCGUGCGGGAAGAAGGCCUUCGGGUUGUAAACCGCUUUUGUUCGGGAAGAAAUCCUCUGGGCUAAUACCCCGGGGGGAUGACGGUACCGGAAGAAUAAGCGCCGGCUAACUACGUG
rnacentral:rRNA from 1 species